UGGGGAAUAUUGCACAAUGGGGGAAACCCUGAUGCAGCGACGCCGCGUGGGCGAGGAAGUACCUCGGUAUGUAAAGCCCUAUCAGCAGGGAAGGAAACAGGACAGUACCUGACUAAGAAGCCCCGGCCUAACUACGUGCC
rnacentral:rRNA from 1 species